rnacentral:rRNA from 1 species
UACGUAGGGCGCAAGCGUUGUCCGGAUUUAUUGGGCGUAAAGAGCUCGUAGGCGGUCUGUCGCGUCGGCUGUGAAAACCCGAGGCUCAACCUCGGGCCUGCAGUCGAUACGGGCAGACUAGAGUGUGGCAGGGGAGACUGGAAUUCCUGGUGUAGCGGUGAAAUGCGCAGAUAUCAGGAGGAACACCGGUGGCGAAGGCGGGUCUCUGGGCAACUACUGACGCUGAGGAGCGAAAGCGUGGGGAGCGAACAGG